AGGACGAACGCUGGCGGCGUGCUUAACACAUGCAAGUCGAGCGGAAAGGCCCUUCGGGGUACUCGAGCGGCGAACGGGUGAGUAACACGUGAGCAACCUGCCCUCAGCUCUGGGAUAGCUCCGGGAAACCGGAUUAAUACCGGAUAUGACCCUGACUGACAUCGGUCAGGGUGGAAAGGAUUCCGGCUGAGGAUGGACUCGCGGCCUAUCAGCUAGUUGGUGGAGUAACGGCCCACCAAGGCGACGACGGGUAGCCGGCCUGAGAGGGCGACCGGCCACACUGGGACUGAGACACGGCCCAGACUCCUGCGGGAGGCAGCAGUGGGGAAUAUUGCGCAAUGGGCGAAAGCCUGACGCAGCGACGCCGCGUGGGGGAUGAAUGCCUUCGGGUUGUAAACCCCUUUCAGCAGGGACGAAGCGAGAGUGACGGUACCUGCAGAAGAAGCGCCGGCUAACUACGCGCCAGCAGCCGCGGUAA
rnacentral:rRNA from 1 species